rnacentral:lncRNA from 1 species
UUCAUAUGACAUCAAGGAAGUAGACAUUUUAAGAUAACUUUUUACUUUCUAAUACUUCACAAAAUGUUAGAUCUUUCAGUCAUUGUUAACCAUUGCUGCCAAUAUAAAUAUAUUGAUACAUAGGACUUAGGACUUAUUGUGCAUAAUUUAUACCAAAAAAAACAAUAAUCAAUUGUAAUUUGCGUGCACGCUACAUCCGUUUUACUUUUAUAUUCUAUUGGUAACAACAGAACGGUAUUUAGUGCUAGAUUUUAAUUUUUGUACAGAUUUCAAUAUACCGAGUAUGUUUAAGAAAUUGCAUUCACAUUCGCCCUAUUCUUUUAUUUGGUUCGCAAAUAUCUAAAAUCCAAUGAAAUGUGUGUUAGCGCUCUCUCACAAGUUUUUCUGUAAUUCAUUACCUAAUUAUAGAACUUUCCACGAACCAGGGACUUAAUCUUUUUACUAUGACAUCGACCAAUUACCUGGUUUUAUUCAGGUUUAACAAAUCCAGUUUACAUAAGGACAAAAUUAAUUAUUUUGUAUGUUUAUAUUCAGUUAUAUAGGCAAUUCGAGCAAAUUUUAAAUUGCCAGUUUUCAGUCAAUUAACGAUCCGCCUAGAAACAUAAUUCACGAACUAUUUUUGUUCUAAUAACUUGAUUAUUCCCGAUCAGGAUAUUUUAAAUGUCAAGUAAUCAGUUUGAUCUUUCAUUCAGAGAUUAUUCUCAAAACAACACAUAGUAUCAUUCAAGUAGUUGCUAAGUAUCACAGUUCAAAAAGUAUAUUUCCUGUUUCCGCACUAUAGCCGUUGUUUUUCUUAGCAAUAAGGAUAUUUACAUUAGUAUAUUCAAAAUGUGUUUCAUGACUUGAGGUCAUUAAGUUUUUCUGUUGUGAUUGUGAAAUAGUAUCCUCCUACGUAUGUUGAAUGUUCCUUUAUUCCCGCGAUUGCGAAUACCGAUACUGAGGUAAUUGUGCGUUGAACAAUAGCCUAGUUUUACGGACGCUUAACCAGUGUGGGGAAUCACGUGACCCAAAAUGGUACGGAACACGGAAGUCAACAUGGCGGAUUUCUGACUUUUUUACCAAUUUUCAAAGAAAUCGCCAAACCUAAGAAGAAACCGGGUCUGACACUUGGGAAAAGAAGUGGAUAAAGAAGCAAAACAAGAAUGUCAAUAUCAAAGUAAUUUUCCAAUUGCCGCAAUCCGUCAAGAAAUCACAAGCGAAAAGGCUGCUUACGCCAUCUAAAUCCCCUAUGUACAACAUAUCUCCAGCAAAUAAAAAAUAAAGUGAAUUUGGUCACCUGACGUUAC